GACGAACGCUGGCGGCGUGCUUAACACAUGCAAGUCGAACGUGAUUUUUGUGGAAAUUCUUUCGGGAAUGGAAAUGAAAUGAAAGUGGCGAACGGGUGAGUAACACGUGAGCAACCUACCUUACACAGGGGGAUAGCCGUUGGAAACGACGAUUAAUACCGCAUGAGACCACAGAAUCGCAUGAUAUAGGGGUCAAAGAUUUAUCGGUGUAAGAAGGGCUCGCGUCUGAUUAGCUAGUUGGAAGGGUAAAGGCCUACCAAGGCGACGAUCAGUAGCCGGUCUGAGAGGAUGAACGGCCACAUUGGAACUGAGGCACGGUCCAAACUCCUACGGGAGGCAGCAGUGGGGAAUAUUGCACAAUGGGGGGAACCCUGAUGCAGCGACGCCGCGUGAGCGAAGAAGGUUUUCGAAUCGUAAAGCUCUGUCCUAUGAGAAGAUAAUGACGGUAUCAUAGGAGGAAGCCCCGGCUAAAUACGUGCCAGCAGCCGCGGUAAUACGUAUGGGGCGAGCGUUGUCCGGAAUUAUUGGGCGUAAAGGGUACGUAGGCGGUUUUUUAAGUCAGGUGUGAAAGCGUGAGGCUUAACCUCAUUAAGCACUUGAAACUGGAAGACUUGAGUGAAGGAGAGGAAAGUGGAAUUCCUAGUGUAGCGGUGAAAUGCGUAGAUAUUAGGAGGAAUACCGGUGGCGAAGGCGACCUUCUGGACUUUUACUGACGCUCAGGUACGAAAGCGUGGGGAGCAAACAGGAUUAUAUACCCUAGUAGUCCAAGGGGCGAAUUCCACAGUGGAUAUCAAGCUUAUCGAUACCGUCGACCUCGAGGGGGGAAAACAGUACUCAGCUUUUGUUCCCUUUAUUGAGGGUUAAUUAA
rnacentral:rRNA from 1 species